AAAAAUUAAGUCUGUCCCGUAGAUU
rnacentral:piRNA from 1 species